GACACGGCCCAGACUCCUACGGGAGGCAGCAGUAGGGAAUUUUCGGCAAUGGGCGAAAGCCUGACCGAGCAAUGCCGCGUGAAUGAAGAAAUUCUUCGGAAUGUAAAAUUCUGUGGUGAGGGAAGAAAGGUAUUAGAAGGAAAUGGCUAAUAUUUGACGGUACCUUACUAGAAAGCCCCGGCUAACUAUGUGCCAGCAGCCGCGGUAAUACAUAGGGGGCAAGCGUUAUCCGGAAUUAUUGGGCGUAAAGCGUGCGUAGGCGGCCACUUAAGUCUGUCGUGAAAGCCCACAGCUUAACUGUGGAGGGUCGAUGGAAACUGAGAGGCUUGAAUCUAGGAGAGGUAAGUGGAAUUCCAUGUGUAGCGGUAAAAUGCUUAGAUAUAUGGAGGAACACCAGUGGCGAAGGCGGCUUACUGGUCUAGAAUUGACGCUGAUGCACGAAAGCGUGGGUAGCAAACAGGAUUAGAUACCCUGGUAGUCCACGCCGUAAACGAUGAGCACUAAGUGUCGGACGUAAGUUCGGUGCUGAAGUUAACGCAUUAAGUGCUCCGCCUGGGGAGUACGGUCGCAAGACUGAAACUCAAAGGAAUUGACGGGGACUCGCACAAGCGGUGGAGCAUGUGGUUUAAUUCGACGCAACGCGAAAAACCUUACCAGGCCUUGACAUACCGAUGAUGUCUUUAGAGAUAGAGAGUUACCUUCGGGUACAUCGGAUACAGGUGGUGCAUGGUUGUCGUCAGCUCGUGUCGUGAGAUGUUGGGUUAAGUCCCGCAACGAGCGCAACCCUUAUCAUUAGUUGCUACGCAAGAGCACUCUAAUGAGACUGCCGUUGACAAAACGGAGGAAGGUGGGGAUGACGUCAAAUCAUCAUGCCCCUUAUGACCUGGGCUACACACGUACUACAAUGGCAAUAAAACAGAGGGAAGCAAAACAGCGAUGUGGAGCAAAUCCCGAAAAAUUGUCUCAGUUCAGAUUGCAGGCUGAAACUCGCCUGCAUGAAGUCGGAAUUGCUAGUAAUCGCAGAUCAGCAUGCUGCGGUGAAUACGUUCCCGGGCCUUGUACACACCGCCCGUCACACCAUGGGAGUCGGUAACACCCGAAGCCGAUAGUCUAACCUGCAAAGGAGGACGUCGUCGAAGGUGGGAUUGAUGACUGGGGUGAAGUCGUAACAAGGUAGCCGUAUCGGAAGGUGCGGCUG
rnacentral:rRNA from 1 species